rnacentral:rRNA from 1 species
CAGUGAUAGUUAGCGGCGGACGGGUGAGUAACACGUGGGUAACCUGCCCAUAAAACUGGUGAUAACUCCGGUGAAACCGGGGCUAAUACCGGAUAACAUUUUGAACCGCAUGGUUCGAAAUUGAAAGGCGGCUUCGGCUGUCACUUAUGGAUGGACCCGCGUCCCAUUAGCUAGUUGGUGAGGUAACGGCUCACCUAGGCAACGAUGCGUAGCCGACCUGAUAGGGGGAUCGGCCACACUGGGACUGAGACACCGCCCACACUCCUACGGGAGGCAGCAGCAUGGAAUCUUCCGCAAUGGACGAAAGUCUGACGGAGCAACGCCGCGUGAGUGAUGAAGGCUUUCGGGUCGUAAAACUCUGUCUGUUAGGGAAGAACAAGUGCUACUUGAAUAACUUGGCUCCUUGACGGUACCUAACCUCAAAGCCGCGGUUAACUACGUGCCAGCAGCCGCAGUGAUACUUACGUGGCAAGCGUUAUCCGGAAUUAUUGGGCGUAAAGCGCGCGCACGCGGUUUCUUAAUUCUGAUGUGAAAUCCCACGGCUCAUCCGCGGAGGGACAUUGGAAACUGGGAGACUUGACUGCAGAAGACGAAAGCGGAAUUCCAUGUGUAGCUGUGAAAUGCCUACAGAUAUGGACGAACACCAUUGGCGAAUGCGACUUUCUGGUCUGUAACUGACACUGACGCGCAAAAGCGUGAGGAGCAAACACGAUUAUAUACCCUGGUAGUCCACGCCGUAAACGAUGAGUGCUAAGUGUUAUACGGUUUCCUCCUCUACUGCUGAAGCUAACGCAUUAAGCACUCCUCCUGGGGAGUACCGCCGCNAUGCUGANCUCANNGGAAUUGACGGUGCCCGCACNNNCGNGGAACAUGUGGUUUAAUUCUAGCACGUACAGAUCCUACCAGNCUUGACCUCCUCUGACACCUAUACUAGGCNNUCGUCNGGAGCAACUACUGAGGUGCAUGGUG